rnacentral:rRNA from 1 species
AUACAGAGGGUGCAAGCGUUAAUCGGAUUUACUGGGCGUAAAGCGCGCGUAGGUGGCUAAUUAAGUCAAAUGUGAAAUCCCCGAGCUUAACUUGGGAAUUGCAUUCGAUACUGGUUAGCUAGAGUAUGGGAGAGGAUGGUAGAAUUCCAGGUGUAGCGGUGAAAUGCGUAGAGAUCUGGAGGAAUACCGAUGGCGAAGGCAGCCAUAUGGCCUAAUACUGACACUGAGGUGCGAAAGCAUGGGGAGCAAACAGGAUUAGAUACCCUGGUAGUGCAUGCCGUAAACGAUGUCUACUAGCCGUUGGGGCCCUUGAGGCUUUAGUGGCGCAUCUAACGCGAUAAGUAGACCGCCUGGGGAGUACGGUAGCAAGACUAAAACUCAAAGGAAUUGACGGGG